GCACCGGCCCUCUUCUCUCGACCUACUUCACCGGUAACCCAAACUUCUGUAUGCAUCCGGCGACAACUUACUCGGCCACGGAAGGUACAGAGUAUCUGGUAAAUCAUCUCGGCAGCGCUGGCGCAACAUACAAGCUCUCUACCAUCACCGGCACUCCCGCUGCGCCCGUACUGACUAUCGGCGCGACCCUGGUGCGGCCCGGCGGCGGAUGGGUGGCAGUGGGCGGCAACAUUGAACCGCAAAUGGCGGGAGCACCGGCAUGUGUGGGCGGGCCU
rnacentral:misc_RNA from 1 species